rnacentral:rRNA from 1 species
AUGGCCGAAAAGUGGUUGAGCUGGCCGAAAUGGCUGUUUUCGGCUGCUGUUUGGCCGAAAAGGUCUUUUUGGUCAAAUUGUAGACCGAAAAGUCCCUUGGGCCCACCUUUCCCUUAUCUGUUGGCCAAUGCAUUUUCCCACCAACUUCUUAGGUUGCAUGAAAGAUGGAAGAAGGUGGUGGUGCCGAAGAGUGAAACUUUCAGAAGGCUUUCAGCAAAUAAUCCAUCUUUAUGGAUUGAGGAGAGCCAGGACGAAGAUGAUAUCUUCAUGCCCCGCUUCCGGGUUCUGCAUCGUCGAAGGGCAAGAGUUCUUCAUCGUCCAAGGGCAAGAGUUCUCCAUCCUCGAAGGGCAAUAGUUCUGCAUCGACGGAUGGCAAAAGGACCACAUCGUCGAAGGGCAAGAGGGCUGCAUCAACGAAGGGGUUGGCGGGAAAAUACAUUGGCCAACAAUUAA